UACGUAGGGUGCGAGCGUUAAUCGGAAUUACUGGGCGUAAAGCGUGCGCAGGCGGUGAUGUAAGACAGAUGUGAAAUCCCCGGGCUCAACCUGGGAACUGCAUUUGUGACUGCAUUGCUAGAGUGUGGUAGAGGGAGAUGGAAUUCCGCAUGUAGCAGUGAAAUGCGUAGAUAUGCGGAGGAACACCAAUGGCGAAGGCAAUCUCCUGGACCUGCACUGACGCUCAUGCACGAAAGCGUGGGGAGCAAACAGG
rnacentral:rRNA from 1 species